UUUAUCAUGUCGGACCAAAUGGAUGGAAGAAGCUAUCAGGAGACGAUGUUGGAGAACUCCACUACCACUACUAUCCCAUUGAAGUGGCAGCCGUGGAGCAGGAAAUGGCUGAAGUGUCAGUGGCCUGAGGAAAAUCAAAACCAUCAAAUAUGUUCUCAUCUUCACUAGUUAGAGAGACAGUUUAGUUUUCUUCUCAGACUGUAUUGUGGUCUUUCAAUCUGUAAACCGUAAAAAAUUACCUACACCCGAUGUUUAAACCAAGCCAAUAGAUGCAAGGCUGUGUGUUUCGUUCACACAUUCAUCACUUAAUUAUGUUUUAGUUGUAUGCACACUUCAAUUUUUAACUGCUAAGUUUAAAUUAUCUAAUUUGCAGGGUUUUCGGAAACAGAUUCCCGACCCUACAAAGGUAGGGGUAAGGUCAUCUUAUCCUUUCCAAAUCUUGCUCGUGAGAUUAUACUGAGUAUGGUGUUGUAAGGUUAAAUUAUGUAGUUUAGUGUAAAUACUAGAUGCGGCUUACAAGUGAGAUGAAAAGUACAGAAGUGAUAAGUUAAUUUUGACGAUAGUUGUUUCUAUAAUCAUAUGUCUUAUCCUUUUACAAUGAACUCUAAGCUAGCAAUGCAUUUUAAGACUGAAGUAAUAUAAUCCCUUUAAUCAAAAGUGUUGCCAAACACCAAUUAAGUUGAUUUAAAGACGAGUUUCACUUACCAAAACACCCAUUAUUCCACAAAACAAAAUGAGCUACAGGCAUUUUCGUAGCUUAUUUAAUUGAACACAAGACAUUUACUAGAACAAAUUCUGAGUUUGGUAAGGAUAGGUUUUAUGAGUGUUGAUUUGGGUUUCAUGUUUCUUGAUUUUCAAAUAACCAAAAGAAAUGAAUUAGAUAUAUUUUUCUAGCUCAUAUAUACUAAGAGUAAUUUGGAUAAUAUAUUCAGAUAAGUAGUUUCAAAUCAAUAUUGUAUUACCUCUAGUUUAAUUUGUUUCAGUUAAAUACUGUUAUAUAUAACAAGGAGGUUAACAUAUUUCACUAAAUGUGUAGUAUUAACUUUAUUAUGUUUUUAACUAAAAACAUCAAAUGAGACAUAGAAAAGCUACUAAUUUCACUGGUGGAUGAUUUGGAUUUAUUCAUACUUAUAAUUAGAGGUUUUAUGUGCGAAUUUUGGAAAAGAAAAAUAAAAUUGUGAGCUUCGCUCACAGAAAUGAGUCAUGUAGUGUGCAAAUCUAAUUUUGAUUGGCUACAAAUGUAGUUACUGGACACUUUAGAAAUGGUGUAAAUUAUGUAAUAUGCAUACUAAUAAACAAUAAAUCAGUUUUACCAUAACUUACUAUAACGAUCCGUUCCUAUCAUUAUGAGCAGGCCAAUAGUGAAAGAAUUUUAGCCAAAAAACUUUUCGAGUAGUGACUUAAUUUUUUUAGGCUAGGCCAACCUUCGACAAAAUUUGGGUUAGGUGCGGUCUUGGGCCAUCAGGAAAUGGGUGGGGUGUAAUGCCGAGGCUUGGAUAAUAUAUUCUUGUAGCCAAGACAAUAAGGAACCCGUAGGGCUUCACAAAAUCGAAUAUGGACGAGUAGAACUCCCGGAGUCGAAUUCGAUGUGGAAGGGAUAGUUCGGAACGUUAAGGAAAGGAGGUAUGUUGUGAAAGAAGAGAUUUUCAUAAAUUUUCGAGUCUCUGAAGUUCGCAUAUUCCGCUAUAGCGGGACUCGGACCGCUAUAGCGGAGUGUGCAGAUCGCUAUAGCGGGGUAAGUUCUGCUAUAUGUUUUGAUUUGAAAAAUUGAGACCCCUCUGAAUUUGAUUGAUUAACUGUGUAGGAUCGUUACACGACAUGAUGAAUGUUGACAUGAAAAGUGUUAAUUUAAAGGACACGAAUCUUAUAGUUAGUAGUUGAUAGUGAGACUAGAUGUCAUGUGUGGGUGAGCUAUUUGUAGUGUAUAUAAUGUGUGUGCCAAUCUAGAACUUGCCAUGUUAAUCUCACGAGACGAUAAGAGUGUUGGUUAGGAAAGUAUCAUAUGUUCUUGGAUUCAGUCCAUUUAGCCUAAAUGAGCGACCAAAUGAAAUUGAUUAUCCCUUGAUCCAUGACUUUGAGCCGAAAACAUACCUUUUUGUUGUGUUACCCUAUUCACCUUCACGUUUUUCAUAUAAACCUUUGUUUUGGCCUUGGUCCCUCCUUGGACAUUGUGCACCUCAACUCAGGCUAAAUGCCUAAGUUGAUGGUGAAAACUGUAGAGGUUAAUACGGAAAGUGAAGUACGGAAAUAACAGAUGUCAAUACGGAAAUAAGGAGACAAAUAGGUGUGGUAGAUGAAAAGAAAUAAAAAGGUUCAAGAAAAAUAAAAGGGUUGUGAGAAAUAAAUGUUGCAUUGGGAAGUCGAUGAAAAUGGAAAGAAAGGGAAGAUAAAAGGUUGAGCGAAAGUGAAGUAAAGACAUCUAGUGUCAACGAAGGCGAUAUUCACUAUUUCCAAAUAUACCAUAUCCAUCCUCGAGCCUACUUUACAAGCCAAGUAAAGUCCUACAGUGAUCCUAAUUUAACUAUCUGAAAGUUAAGAUGUAGAAAAUAAGGGCAAGUAUAUGGUAUUAAGCAUGCAUGUUCGAAUUUCUUUUGUGAGUGCAAAUGUUUACUUAGUCCCCGACAUUGAGAGUUAUUAUACUGUACGCAAAUGAGAUGUUUUUUGGUAAGGGCACGCGAAUAGCGCUAUUAAUUGUUGAUUGGAUAGCUGAGUGUUGUCCAUGUAUGAAACCUUGUCCAUUAGCAUGAUGAUGUCAUUCAUUGAUCCGCAUACGUUAGCUUGAGAAUUUGAUAAGUUGCACUUAGUAUGUAAAAGGAAAAGAUGGUAUCGUGUUGGUGAGUUGAAAUGUUGAAAGUCAUGCGUUUGAUGUGAGGUCUUAGUCUUUUUUUUCUAAGUUGUUGUGUUUUGUUAGUUGUGUCAAUCGUAUGAGGACAAGUAACGAUGUUAAGUUGAGGGUGUUGAUGUGUCGUGAAUUUACGACACUUUAAUGCUUAAAAUUUAGAUUUUCUGUGAGUUCUUUGGUGUAUGUUAGUGGAUUUUUUAUGUGUUUUGUGGUUGUUUUACUGGAAAAUAGGUUUCGGAGGCUAAGUGUGAGCAACAGGUGCACCAACCAAAUUUUGGCAAUCUAUGAGUCACUCUAUGAACCAUAGCUUGAUCCACGAGCCAUAGAUGGUAAUCGUAGUAAAGAUAUAGAAACUUGACAAAAAAAUUCCGAGUUUUAUGAAUGAACAGUACGAUCCGUAAAGACUUGUACGAUCCAUAGAAUGGGUUCAUGGUUUAGAUUUGGAGAAGGGCCACAAAAUCCUAAGUUAUACGAGAGUAAAGUAUAGGCCGUAGAUAUUUCCACAGACCGUAGUUCAUUUCUGUGGAGAAAUUUUAGAGACUGUGCAAUGUAUGUCAUUUACGAAAAGUGCCCACGAGUCGUAUAAAGGACUACCUUUCAUAGAUUGGAUCGUAAAAGUUAUCAAAUCCAGUUUUCGUAGAUCACUUUAGAUGGGGGUUUUAUGCCUAUACAUAUUUUUUCUAGAUUUUUUUUUUGCAUUUUUAUGUCGUCUUUGUAAUGAUCCGAUAUGUUCGUUAUGAGUAGGCCGAUAGAAAAAGAAUUUGGGCCAGAAAAUCUUUCAGAUAUCGACUUAAAAUUUGUAGGCUAGGCCAAUCUUAGACGAAAUCUGGCUAGGUGAGGUCUAAGGUCAUAAGGGAAUGUGUGAGGUGUAAUUUCUAGGCUUGGUGAAGUUAAUUUUUUAGCCAAGACAUUAAGGAGUCCAUAGAGCUUUACGAAAUCAAAUUUGGGUAGAUAGAAUUCCUGGAAUUGAUCUUGAUGGGAUAUGUCGAGACGUCAAAGAAAGAGGUUGUGUUGUGAAAAAAUGGUAUUUCUCUUCUGAAGUUUCACAUCUCAUGCUAUAGGGGAGGCGUCCCGCUAUAACGGCAUGCAAACCGUUAUAGCGGGCUGGACCAUUAUAGCGGGGAGAAAUGAGAUUUUAUGUAGAAACAUUACACAAAUCCCUUUUUUCUGUACUCUUUUUUCUUGGAGUUGGGAGGGGCAAUUUUGGGUUGUUUGUACUAGCUUUUUCAUGCAAUUUAUCGGUAAAGGUAAGAUUUUGACUCCCUAACCUUAGACAUUAAUUCUUAAGCCAUAGAAUCUAGGUUAUUGUUCUUAGGGGGAGGGUUUUGACAUGAUCCUAAAAGCUCUAAGUUGGGGAAGAUGAUCAUAUAUUGGCUCGAGUUUAGGAUCGGUUGGUAGUACAGAUAAAUUAUAGACCAUUAGUUGAUUAUUGCUUUUAUUAUUUCUUUUAGACCAAGAACAAGCCAAAACACUUCGCAAGGGGAAAGCUCAAGUUCUUUAGAGUUUCCAAGAGGUUUGAUUCGAGGUAGGUGAUGGUUGUAUGUUUCCGAUUUAUGUAGGUAUGCAUCUCUACUGUUUUUUAGUAUCAUUGUUGUAAUGAAUGGUAAGGAAUAGGAAGACAUAUGAAAUGACAUCAUGUUGAUAAUCUUAUGCAGUGGACUUGUUAUUGUGGCUUGUCGUUUUCAAGUGGCAUUGUUCAUUGCGUUUGUGAUUGUGCAUGAUUGUCUGUGAUUGUUGGUUGACUCGAGUACCACACUGAUACACUAACUAUAUAUGGCUUGGGUACCAUGUCAAUACACUAAUAAUUUGGGUAUUUUGUGAGAGGGUCAGACAUGUGAUUGUGGUUCCAUGAGAGGACCGAACAUUUGCAUUUGUAAUCAUGUAGGACAUGUAUUCAAGUAUUGUUGUUUCAUGACAUGUGACUGAAAGUAUAUGUGGUUUGAAAAUUGUUGUUAUAUAUAUUGUUUUAUGUUACUGCUUCUGGUGAACUGUUUACAUUCAUAUCUUAGACUGACAUCCUACCAGUACAUUACGGUUUGUGUACUUAUCCUGCACCUGCUCUUCCCUUGUUGAGUACAUGACAUCUUCCAGCGGAUGAUCCAAGAUCUUAGUUAAGGGACAUCUGACUUUGAAUCUAAGGGUGAGCUACAUCUUUCACACUGUCAUGGGUUCUUUUACAUCUUCUUGUCCAUCUUCUCAAACACAACAUUUGUCACGACCCGAGUCUACACCCUGGACAUGGCUGACACUCGAAACCAUUGCUAGCCCUUAAGCGAACCCUCAUCUUGUCUGACUACAAGCGGAAGACUGACUCAAGCAUACAUAAGCAUCAAAUUGAAAGAAACGUUUAAAAAUAGUUUAUUGAAUCUCAAAAUUUUGUUGAAUAUACUUAGUAUGAAACAUAAGUUUUAAAUAAAAAUAUCUGAAAUUGAAAGACUCUCCAAACUAUCUAUCUAUGAAGCCUCUACUAUUAAGGAAGGAUGUUAGGACAAGACCCACGACACCUCAAAACUACUAACUGGAAAGUAACUGUGAAGUCCUCUAGAAUACAAGGAGCCUCACCAAAGCUAAUUGAAGUGUAUAGUGAUCUCAAUGAAGCGCUUUUUGAUAAUCAUGAACACCUAUAUCUUCAUCAUAAAAGGAUGCAGGUCGAAUGACAUCAGUACAUGGAAUGUACGAGUAUGUAAUAUGGAUGAGUAAACAAAUAAUUGAACUGAAUGAAUGAAAACAACUCAACUAAAUCAAUACAUGAACAUGAAGUGAAAACCAUUUAAGCUUUACAUUAACAUAUAUAAUGAAAGCAACAUGAAAUAAUAUACUUUACUUGUGGAGAGUUUCUUAAAUCGCCAACCAUUACCAUGAGCCUAGCAAUGAUACAAUGUUUCCCCUCACGUUACCAAGGCCAUCCUAUACUUUUCCGGAGUAUAGGAUGAUAUCGUGACUAUGGAUCCAACUAUAUGCCUUAUCAGAGGCAGUGAGAAGUUGCAUGAAGAAUCAAUAAUAUCAUAUCCUACGCUGGCUACGUAGUUCUAUGGGACUUUCGAAUCAUAAAAGACUCUAACCCAACUCGGUGCUCGAUACUACUCCCAAAAUAAUUAAUAUAACUUUGUGCUCAAUUCACCCAUUAUAAAAAAUGGACUUCUUACAUUACUUGAAAUGCUUUUCAAAACGUGAGAUGUGUUUACCUCCUUGAAAACAUGCACGUGAGAUGUGUUAUAUAUGAAUAAAAUAACAUUAGAAAUUCUUAAAUCUUUAUGAAAUAGAACCUUUAAACUUUUUCUCAAAACUCAUCUUUACUUCCUCAAAAACUCAGUUUAAAACUCAAGUGUUGGCUUUGAAAAACUUCUCAAAAUUUAUAACUCAAAAUAAGGUUCAUGCUGAAUUAUAGACAUAAACAAAUCAACUCAAGAAUAUCAAUAAAAAUAUUGAAACUCAAUACUUAGGAAUAUAAUUUCAAAAGAAUCAGGAAUUCAUGAACUCAAAAUCAACUUAUCUCAAGAAUACUCAAAUCUAGGAGUAGAAUCCUAGAUUACUCUUUUACUGAUUUGAAAGUAGAUGUAGGGCGUGAGGACGAACUAGUCCAACACUAUGAUAGCCUUAGAUACCUUGAAGAACAAGGUUCUUGAAGAAUCUUGAAGAAGAACUUGAUUAGAAGCCUUGAAACCCAAGCUUGAAGGAGAACAAUUAAGAAAUCUUUCUUAGGAUUCUUGAAUUAGUUUCUUGAAAUCUCUAUGGCCAAGAAUUAUGAUUUUCAUAACUGAUUCAUAAUUUUACGGAGGAAUUUGAGUUGGAAAGAAUGGAAUUCUUGGAGAAAAACUUAUCUUGAAGAAGAAUCUUAAAAAAAAUGGAAAGAAUCUUGAAUGAAGUCUUCUACUUUGAUUUUUCCUUAGGGUUUUGCCUUAGGGUUUGAGAGAGAAGAGAAUGAUGGAUUAAAAGAUGGAAAUAGGAUUGUUUAGGGCUUUAUAGGAGUUACGAAAUCCGUUAUUAAGGUUUUCCUAGUGGUAUAAGGAGAAGAAAAUUACCUUAUUUAGAAUUUUCCCGCGGCUAAAACGGAACUGCACUACGUCAGUUACUAAAAUGGUCAUAACUUUUUACUCAAAAAUUGGAUUGAUGCGAAAUUUGUGGCUUUGGAAAGAGGAUUGAAAUACCUUUAAUGUGAUAGGCUAUGGGUCACGCAACUCCUUAUAUUCUAAGAAAUAUGGUCUUUUUAAGUUGACCUAAGUAAAAUCUUAUGUCAAAACUUAAUCGGUAAGGAAACUUUCAACUCUACUUUGUGCUAGGAGUUUCUAGUUACCUUAAUUGAUAUUAAAAAUCAUUCCCACACUAAAGAAUUUACCUUAACACCUAAGAAAAAUUAAGAGUCACUCAGUACAACCUUAUACACAAUUCAAGAAUGGUUUGGGCUUAACUUAGAAAUUUUCGGGGUGUUACACCAUUAGACUUUAGUUUUAUGUUUUAGUUUUGGGGUUGCAUUCCAUUCUUGAUUAGAGUUUUGGUAUAGUGACUUUCAAUUCUUAGAGGUUUUUUUCCACAUUAAAUAUUUUUGAAUUAUUAGGUUGAGAUGGGAACUCAAAUUUUUGGUUGUCUACACUAUUUUCCUUACUUUUAUAUGAUGAACUUGGUUUUAUUAAAUGGUGUUGGAUGGUUUCAGGUUAGUUUUUGGUUCUCUCAUCGGGUGGUCUAGUGUAGGUUCCACUCACGACCUUUGGGGUCGUAAUAAUCUCGGUUCGGGAAAUAGAAGUAAAGAACUCUUUUGCUUUCAUUCCUAAAUUUUGAAGAUUUUUUACACAUCGAUCUUUGAUUUUUGACUUUGAAUUUCAAUUCAAGAUUCUGGGUUUUCAAUAUUCAUAUGGUAAUCCUCGAACGGUAUGCAUGCAUGUAUUGUUUUUCCUUCGCUUUGAUCGCUUUUUAACGAAGCGCUUCGUUAAAACUCGUUGUAUUCCUACUUUCCUUAGCAAGGGGCUAAUGAAUGGAAAAAAAGGACUACGCAAUGGAUUUUUUAGGCUAUCAACUCUCAUAUAAUAGCUUGACCUUACCCAAGGAUAACUGAUUUGGGAUCAAUGCAUGGUAGUGUUAUUAAAACAUACACUCGUAGACUAACCAUGUUGUGAGGUGAAAUUUAUCUACUUAGGCAACAAUUCACUUAGGUGAUAAUUAACUUACCGAUCUUGCAUGUGCCGCAACAGAUAAGGUUACAAAUAUCUGGUCUUACUAAGUUAUGAACUCAUGGGGAACUCAUAACCUUAGUUGCGUCUUUUAUUGAUUUAAAAUACGUGAAAUUGUUACUUUGUUACUUUCUACUUGUGGCAAUAUUAAAUCUACUUUUGAUUACACGAACCCCCUUUUACAAAAAUAAUAUGACUAAGAGCACGAAUAAUAACAAUUGAACUAAGUCCAAACCAUAUUCCUCGUGGGAUCGACCCCAACCUUCAUUAGUUUCUAUAUUUGAACAACAACUGCUUUAUACUUCUUUUAGGAGGUGUAAUUUAGGUGUAUCAGGUUAUAGAUAUUUGCUUACCUUUUUCUCUGUUCCUGUUGGAUUAUCGAGGUGUAUAGUUAUACUUGCCAUUGUUACAUUCUUAUAACCCUUAGAUACCGUAUAUUUCCUCACUUUUCAUUAUGUAUUUACUUUCCAAGAACAGUAUGAUGCAUAUUGGGUACAUAUAGUUUUAGUACUCAUGCUACACUUUGUAUCUGUUUUUCUUGAUGUAGAAUCGAGCGCCAACUGACAACGUUGAUUCUGUGAAGCAGCAAGGGCUUCCGGAGUUUGAGGGUGAGAUGAUGGCUUUUGAAAAUGAAGGAAGCUGAUAUAGGAGAAGAGUCCUAUACUAGCUACACUAGGAGUCCUACUAUAAUACAAAUAUAUUAUUUACAUCUACAACAGUACACACGUCAGUCAGCUUCCUUGGACCUGAUCCUUUGACAUCUUCCAAUCAUUUUUAACACUGCCCCUCAAGCUAGUGAGUGGAGAAACUGUAACUCCUAGCUUGCUGCAAAAUCUAGCAAAGACUUGUUUUGUCAAUUCUUUGGUAUGAAUAUCAGGUAAUUGAUCCUUAGACCUCACAAACUGAGUGAUAAGUUGUCCUCUGGACACCUUCUCACGAGCAAAAUGAUAGUCCAUUUCAACAUGUUUGGUUCUAACAUGCAUAAUAGGAUUAACUGUCAUGUACAAGGUACUUAAGUUAUCACAAUACAAUGUAGGAACAGAUCGAAGGAACACCCCAAGAUCAUGAAGUAGAUACAUAAUCCAUGUCAUCUCUGCUGCAGUGGAGGCUAGUGCUCUAUACUCAGCUUCAACACUCGAUCAGGCUACUGUGGUAUGUUUCGUGGAAGUUCAAGAAAUAAAAUUUGCAGCUAGGUAGAUGUUAUAGCCUCUAGUUGAUCUCCUAGCAGUAGUACAACCUCCCUAAUCAACAUAUGAAUAUGCAUACAACCUACAUGGUGAUUAUGAAAUAAUUCUGAGUCCAAAGUGUAGAGUACCUUUAAUGUAUCUGAGAAUCCUUUUUACUCCUUGAAGAUGUUCAAUGUUUGGACUUUGCAUAGAGUGGCUUGCUAAAUUCACAAAGUGAUAUCAGGUCUUGUGAGUGUCAAGUAUUGAAGACUGCCUACAUCAUUCUAUAAUGAUGCAUCUAUAAGACUCCCACAACUUCAUGUAAACCAUGCUUUUGAGCCAAAUGAGUGGCUACAGCCUUUGCCAAAGUCAUCUCUGUCUUGUCCAGCAUCUCAUAAGCAUACUUACUCUUACUUAAGUGAAUUCCUCCUUCAAAAUACUUAACCUCUACUCCUAGAAAUAAGUGUAAAAGGCCAAGAUCUUUCAUAGCGAACUCUUUCCCAAGUUGUAGAACCAACUCUGAGAUAUGUGAUGGAUUACUUCCUGUGACAAUAAUAUAUCCACUUAUAACAAGAGAAAUAUGGUGACUUUGUGAGUUUUCAAAGUAAAUAAUGAGGGAUCUGCCUUACUACAGAUGAAACCAAGGUGUAAGAGAUGCAUGCUAAACCUAUCAAACCAAGCUCUUGGUGCUUGUUCAAGACCAUACAAUGUCUUUUUAAGUAGACACAUGUGCUUAGGAUACCUGGGAUCAAUGAUUCUAGGAGGUUGACUCAUGUACACCUCUUCUUGUAGGAAACCAUGGAGGAAGGAAUUUUUGAUAUCUAGUUGGCUAACUUCCCACUUUGAGUUGAUUGCAAUUGAUAGAACCACCCUAAUAGUUGUGGCUUUAACCAUAGGGCUAAAUGUUUCUUCAGAAUCUAUCCCUUCAAGCUGAGAGAAUCCUAUGUCCACAAGUUUGUCCUUGUAUCUAUCUACUAUUCCAUCAACUUUCAAUUUUAUCUUGAAUACUCAUUUUGAACCAACCAAGUUUAUACCAGGAGAUUUGGGCACCAAUAUUCAUGUCUUGUUAGGUAAAGCAUUGAUUUCCUCUUGCAUUGCUAAAAGCCAAUGAAGUGAUCUUAGUGCUUCCUUAGUAGUAUUUGGUUCUCUCAAGAUCUCUUUGAUACUGCGAGCAACAAAUGAUAGGUGUUGUUCCUUUGCCUUGUGUCUGGUAAUCAUAUGAUGCCCUUGUGGUGCAGGAAGUAUAUCAACAUAAGUAGUUGAUUUUAGUGUAGUAUCUUCAGGUUGAUGAUGCUUUGGUAGAUUCCACUUGGAGAAGUCAACAUAUAAAUGUAUUCCCUGUGUAUUAGAGACAGAGAAAGUCGGAUUAGAUAAACCACCAUUGAUUGGACCUACACGUGCAACCUGUUCCUCACUGCCACUAGCAGAUCCUAAAGCUACAACUAGAGCCUCAUCAAUCUGAGUUUCGUUACAACUGUCUGGAUCAUCACUUUCAACAUUUUUCUCAUGAUCAUCAUAUGAUCAUGUACCUGAGGGGUCAAUAGCACUCUCAUCAUCAAAGAGUAUAUGGGUUGUUGGAGUAGCAUUUUCACCAGUAACUUGCGUACUAUCAGCCUGUACUUCCCAUGAAUUAGGAUUAUCAUAUGACUACAAUUUAGAGAAAAAUUCAACAAAAGUAGCAAGGUGAGGUGAGACAUCAAUGUUAGUCUGAGAUUGACUUGGAGACACAUAGGGUAAUGUAUUUUCAUCCAACACAACAUGUCUAUAUACGUACACCCUCAUUGUAGAGAGAUGAUAACAUAUAUAUCAUUUGUGUAAGCUGUUGUACCUUAUGAACACACAAGGGUAAGUCUUUGGACUGAACUUGUUGCUACCCUUUUAUAUAUGAAAAACAUCUACACCCAAACACCUUUAGGUUGUUGUAAUCAAGUUGCUCUUCAUACAACAUAACAAAUUGAGUCACCAUCUUUAGGAUUGAGGAGUAGUCUAUUAAUGAGGAACACAACAGUGAGGAAAGCCUCAACCCAUAGAAACAAAGAUAAGUUAGCAUGAUGUAGUAGAGUUAAGCUAGUCUCCACAAUAUGCCUAUGUUUUCUUUCUGAAAUUCCAUUUUGUUCAGGUGUUAGGACAUGAAAUAUGUCUCACAAUGCGACAAUCUUUAAAAUUCUUGAUGAAGUCUAUUUUUAUAAACUCACCACCUCCAUCACAUUGAAAUAUCUUAAUUUCUUUAGAAAAUUAUUUUUCCACCAUUUUCUGGAAUUCUACAAAGACCUCAAAAAAAUCAGAUUUCUUUUUCAGUGGAUAAAUCCAUGUAUAUCUUGUGUGAUCCUCUACAAAAACGACAUAAUAUUUCAUAUGUUGAGAAGAAUCAACAUGAGAAGGUCUCCAUAAGUCACAAUGAAUUUUCAAUAAAGGUUCCUUCUCAAUUUUAUUUCUCAAAUCAAAGGAAAGUUUACAACUCUUGCCCAUCUGGCAACUAGAACAAAUAAUAGGCAUUUUAUUCCAACUACUAACAUUAAUGCAACUAUUACUACUCAAAAAUUUUAAAGACUUCAAACUAGGGUGUCCUAAUCUAGUAUGUCACAUGUUGUCUGAUGUGUUCCAAUCGUGUGCAUUGAUUAAAGCAUAGAUGUUGUUAUCUUCUAAAUCAUAGAGUCCAUUCCUUUUAGAUCCCUUGGCCAGCAGUGUCCUUGUCUUCUUGUCUUUUACAACAAAGUUAAUUUCAUUAAACUCAAGAGUGCAACAAUUAUCCUUUGCAAGUUUACUAAUUGAGAGUAGAUUUUUAUUGAUCUUAGGAACUACAAGAACUUCUCUUAACUUUAGGCCUGAUCCUGAUAUGUUCCUGGCAUGUGUUAUGUAUAACUUUGAUCCAUUCCCAAUAAUGAUUUUAUCUGGUCCAUUGUAUUGUUUAAGAUUAGUUAGAAUACCUGAGUUACGUGUCAUAUGACUACUUGCUCCUGAGUCCACAUACUAGAUGUCAUCAAUAAUGUUUUGUAGAUUAGUAGCAGUCAAUGUUUAUGGUAGCUCAUCUGCAGCUUGGUAAGAGUAGUCACACCUGUAGAAACACUUAAGAGAAGUAUAGUUAUUACUACCACAAAUUUGGCACGCAUCAGUAUUGUUCCUCUCAUGACUUUCAUUUGAAGGACUGUUCUGAGAACUUGGUCCAUAUUUUUUGUUAUACGAACUUGUUCCUUGUCCAAUAGGCUUGAAGCCUCUUCCUCUGGAAUUGAAGUUAUUGUUUCCUCUUCUUUGAGAGUAGUUUCCUCUUCCCCUGCCCCUUUGGGCAGAGAAUUCCAUGUUAUCGUUUUGUUGUGACACUUCUUCUUCUUCCUCCCUCAUAUCAAAACUCCUAAGAGCAUUAACAAAUUGAUUAAGAGUGGUAUAUGGUGCCUUACGUAACAUGAAUGUCCUGAAGGUCUAGUGUGACUCUAACUCUACAACAGUACACAUGGCAGUCAGCUUCCUUGGACCUAAUCCUUUGACAUGUUUCAAUCAUCAACUUCCUUCAUCUUCAACAAUGGCGUCCUAGUUUGACUCAUGUCUAUCUGUAUAUAUUUUUUGGCUAGUAUUUUGAAUUCGAGACAAGUUUGUUAUGAGUUUUACAUCUAAUAGAGUACAAUCUAUAGGAAAGUAGAUCGUAGCCUACCUCUAAGCCGAUCACGCGCGCUCCCUUACCGUUAACCAAAACUUUUACUUUUUCGAAUCAUCUCUGAUCACCGCCAUGCUAUAAGAAAAUUGAUCGUGAUGUCAAUAAAGAUGUUUUGACACCCAAAUCACAACAAUUGAAGACGGUCCCAAAAAUGAGUCAAAAUGAAAUUAUGGGACCCAUGCUGAAAAUUCCAAAUUACUCCAUCAUUAUAUCCCAAACAACUCAAGAAACUUGUGCCCCAAAAAUGGACAUAAUCCAGACUCGAAAACGAGCUAAAAUAACUCAUGCAACAAUAUUAACCAAAAAUCACCAUUAAAGAGGUAUGAAAGGUUCAUCAGAGCAAGAACUUACCUUUAAAACGAGAUCACAACAUUAUUUUGAUGAUCCUAACGUAUAGCCUCGACAAUAUCCAACUAGUAGGAACUGAAAUGACCUCAAUCGGAGCUUUAUAGCUCAAGUUAUCAACAUUAGAACUUAGAGAAAAUGACUAAAAUUUUGGUACUAUUCUGGUAUAAUAAAGGCUGAAAACCUUUGGCUUAAUUGCAUCGCCAGGAACACGAUCGCGGUGCCAAAGAAUUUAGACCAGCCCAAUCGCGGUGUUCAAGUCUGCGAUAGCAUUAGCCAAAAUGGUCAAUGCCCAACUUAACCCUUCGUAAACACGACCAAGCCGCGCGACUACCCUUAAAGCACUGUGUUUUUCUACACCUGAUUUUGCAUCAACUAAUUCAACAAGUUAGGAAAUUCUCUGACAUGGUGCUCAAAAUUCUUUCGGAACCCUGUGCAUGCAAAUGAACUAUGCUAACCCAUAAAUUUGACAUUUUAGACUCAACGAGGAUGUCGAAACUUCCAGCGGAGGUCAUCUCAAUAAAAAGUGGGUCCCAUUCUUAAGUUCUAUUUUGAGACGAAAUCCACAAUGUAGCUCGAAAUGAGCCCAAAAAUCUUGAGAUUCUCAUCGAAAGCUCUUCUAGACAAAACUUGACGUUCCAGAGCUAACAAAAUCGUCGAAUUGUAUUUUGAAGCCGUCUACCUAAAGUUUUGAUCAAAGUCAACUAUUCAUACUUUAGAAACACCAAAAUAGGAAAAUUUGUACAAAAUCCAAGCAAACGAUCAUGCGGCCGAACUAUCAACCUCAGCAAGUCAUAAAUGACUUUGGAUCGCUACAGAAAAACUCUAAACGUAAAAAGAUUGAAAAAUGAGGAAAUGAAUUGGAGGGUGAUUACAUACACUUACAUGAUUCAGUCUUUUCAGUAUUUAAAAACUUAUCAAGUUCAGUGUAUGUCCAUUUUUUAUACAAAUAACUUAGGUUUAUAUUAACGGAAUUCAUGCACCUAAUUUUGCAUCAAUUGAUUCAACAAGUUAGGAAAUUCUCUAACAUGGUGCUCAGAAUUCUUUCGCAAUCCUUGCACACAAAUGAACUAUGCUACCCCACAAAUUUGACAUUUUGGACUCAACGGGAAUGUCAAAACUUCUAGCGGAGGUCAUAUCAAUCAAAAGUGGGUCCCACACUCAAGUUCUAUUUUGAGCCAAAAUCCACAAUGUAGCUCGGAAUGAGUCCAAAAAUCUCGAGAUUUGCAUCGAAGGUUCUUCUAGAUAAAAGUCGACGUUCUAGAGCUAACAAAAUCGUCGGAUUUGUAUUUUGAAGCCAUCUACCUAAAGUUUUGAUCUAAGUCAACUAUUCAUACUUUAGAAACUCUAAAGAAGGAAAACUUGUACAAAAUAUAAGUGAACGAUCAGGCGACCGAACUAUCAAUCUCAGCAAGUCAUAAAUGACUUUGGAUCGCUACAGAAAAACUCUUAACGUCAAAAAGAUUGAAAAUGGAGGAAAUAACUUGGAGGGUAAUUACAACACUUACAUGUUUUAGUCUUUUAAUUAUUUAAAAACUUAUCAAGUUCAGUGUAUGUCCAUUUUUUAUAAAAAUAACUUAGGUUUAUAUUAACGGAAUUCAUGCACCUGAUUUUGCAUCAACCGAUUCAAUAAGUUAGGAAAUUCUCUGAUAUGAUGCUCAUAAUUCUUUCGGAACCUGUGCACACAAAUGAACUAUGCUACCCCACAAUUUUGACAUUUUAGACUCAACGAGGAUGUCAAAACUUCCAGCAGAGGUCAUCUCAAUAAAAAGUGGGUCCCACACUCAAGUUUAUUUUGAUCCAAAAUCCACAAUGUAGCUCGAAAUGAGCCCAAAAGUCUCGAGAUACUCAUCGAAAGUUCUUCUAGAUAAAAGUCGACGUUCCAGAGCUAACAAAAUUGUCGGAAUUGUAUUUUGAAGUCGUCUACCUAAAGUUUUGAUCGAAUUCAACUAUUCAUACUUCAGAAACUCCAAAAUAGGAAAACAUAUACAAAAUCCAAGCGGCCGAUCAGGCGACCGAACUAUCUAUCUCAGCAAGUCAUAAAUGACUUUGGAUUGUUAUAGAAAAACUCUAAACGUCAAAAAGAUUGAAAACGAAGGAAAUGACUUGGAGGGUAAUUACAUACAGUUACAUGUUUUAGCCUUUUAAGUAUUUAAAAUCUUAUCAAGUUCAGUAUAUGUUCAUUUUUUAUACAAAAAACUUAGGUUUAUAUUAACGGAAAUCAUGCACAUGAUUUUGCAUCAACAUAUUCAGCAAGUUAGGAAAUUCUCUGACAUGGUUCUCAGCAUUCUUUCGGAACCCUGUGCACGCGAAUGAACUAUGCUACCCCAUAAAUUUGACAUUUUGGACUCAACGAGGAUGUCAAAACUUCCAGUGGAGGUCAUCUCAAUAAAAAGUGGGUCCCACACUCAAGUUCUAUUUUGAGCCAAAAUCCAUAAUGUAGCUCAAAAUGAGCCCAAAAAUUUUGAGAUCUGCAUCAAAGAUUCUUUUAGAAAAAACUUGACGUUCCAGAGCUAACAAAAUCGUCGAAAUUGUAUUUUGAAGUCGUCUACCUAAAGUUUUGAUCGAAGUCAACUAUUCAUACUUUAGAAACUCCAAAACAGGAAAACUUGUACAAAAUAUAAGCGAACGAUCAGGGGACCGAACUGUCAAUCUCAGCAAGUCAUAAAUGACUUUGGAUCGCUACGAAAAUACUCUAAAUGUAAAAAAGAUUGAAAAAUGGAGGAAAUGACUUGGAGGGUAAUUACAUACACUUCCAUGUGUAAGUCUUUUUAAGUAUUUAAAAACUUAUCAAGUUCAGUGUAUGUCCAUUUUUUUUAUACAAAUAACUUAGGUUUAUAUUAACGGAAUCAUGCCUAAGUGAAAUGAAAUCCUUAACCCAUUUUCCAGUUGUGCCUCCCCCCCGGCCACUUUUUCUUUAAUUACUCUUAUGGAAAGACAGUUAACCUCAAUGAUUCAAAAUAAAAUCACGAGAAAAGAAAAUAAAAGCACUAACUUUAUUCACUGAAAGAUAAAAUGAAGCAUAUUAUUACUACUAAUGACUUGUAUAUGCUAAUUUAUUUUAUAAAAUGAAAAAAAUUAUCACCAAUUAUGUCUGGGGAGAGAUUUAUUUAUAUUUAAUGGAAACAAAUUUAAUGCAAUAGAAAUAAAACUAAAAUUUCUUUUCUCAAAGAUUUUGAUUCCAAAUUUGUACUCCAACAAUUAAAUUGAAGAAAAUUUGUUUAAUUUUUCAGAUGUUGAAAUUUAUAAAAUGGUAGAUUUGUAACUUUUUUUUUCUAAAUAGAUCUAUUUUAUUAUUCUGUUCAUUUUAUUUUACAUAGAGAAUUUUGAGUAAUGAGAUCAAAUCUCUAAUUUUUCUUUUGUAUUAAAUUUUUUUUAAAAAAAUCACAUUGUUUAUGAACCGUUAACCGCUAAAGAAGAGAACAUAACAUACGCAAGUCAUUAGCAUAUAAUAAUAUGCUUCAUUUUAUCAAUAAAAUUAGGACUUAUAUAUUCUUUUCUCAUUAAUUUUAUUUUGAUUCGAUGAGGUUAUGGUUUUUUUCAUAAGAGUAAUUUGAAGAAAAAGUAGCGGGGAGAGCGAAACAACUAAAAAAAUGGAUUAAAGAUUGAAUUUCACGAAGACAUGAGUUUUGUUAAUAUAAAUAUAAGUUAUUUGUAUAAAUAAAUGGAGAGAGGCCAAACCUAAUAAGCUUUUGAAUACUUAAAUGAUUAAAACCGAUAACUGAUAAGUAUAUAAUUAAGAGACCAAAGUCGAUAAGUGUAUAGUUAAAAAACCAAGGUUAAUAAGUUUUAAAAUAGUUAAAGAACUAACUCUGAUAAAUAUAUAGUUAAGAGACCAUUUUAGACGUACAAAGUUCGGACUAGGUAGAAUAAACCUUUAUGAUUGGGCUGCCCUUCGGGAUGGCAAUGGGGUGGGACGAGUUGAGCUUGACCCGCAAUUUUUAAUCCUCCCCACCCCGCUCCGCAUAACAACUUUUUCAUUUUCAACCCGCUCACUCCAUCCCGCAUAAAUUCUCCUUGCAUUUUUUUUUAAUAUUUUAUAUUUUAGUUAAGUUUGAUAGUAAAAAUAUAAAUAAUAAAAAUAAGUUCAUUUUUCAUUAAGUUGUAUUAAUUUAAUAGAUAUUUACUUAAAAAUUUAUUUUUAGAGGUCAAUUGGGAAACAUAUAAGAAAUUGUAUUAUUUUUUAUGGGAAAAAGGACAAAUAUACCUCCGAACUAUCGUAAAUGGUAAGCAGAUACCCCGUCAUACUUUUGGGACAUUGGUGCCCCUGCCAUCCAAAAACUAGAGCAUAUAUGCUCUUCAUUCUAACGGACGACUAAAUAGGGACACAUGCCACAAUCUUAUCCGUGGAGCCGAUAUUUAAUAAAUGUCGUGUAGGUGAAUAAGAUUAUGACACGUGUAUGUCUGUUAGUAUAAAGGGUAUAUAUACUCUAGUUUUUGGACGACAGGGACACCAAUGUCCCAAAAGUAUGACAGAGGGUAUCUACAUACCAUUUACGAUAGUUCGGAGAUAUAUUUAUUUUUUUUCCCAUUUUUUAUUAAACUAUUUUCAUCUACUAUUUUAAAUAUUUUAUUAGCUUUAAAAAAGUUAUCUUUAACAAAUAAUGUUUUAUCACUCUUAUAACAUAUAAAAAAAUAAAAUUAAAUUUGAACCUACAUAAAAUCACAUAUAUCCACAAUCCGCUGUCCGCACCAUCUUAAACUCACCCCACCCUGCAUAACCUUAAACCCACCCCACCCCACCCCAUUGCCUGCCAUCUCUAGCUGCCCUUUCUCUUCUAUUUUUGGAAUAGGAUUGACCCGACUCCCUAAUUAAAACUAGCACAGCUGCAAAACCCUUUUGUGCUCUUACUUUGCCAACUCAAACCCUUUCCCGCAGAAUCGAAAGUGAAGUAAUUUCUUGAAAUCAUAGAGAGAUUUAUCCUUCUCUUUCCAUUGAUGAAGCAUUUGCAGAAACUGAUAACUCCAUUAAUUCUCAAAUGGGGUUAUGUUUUUAACAAUUCUAAACCAUUUUUUGGUUCCUCCCAAAAGGUUAGGUUUUAUGCAACUGCUAAAAAAUCUAAAUUGAAACAAGGAGAAGAAGAAGAAGAAUGUCAUAUACCUCGUGCAGUGAAGAAAGAAGCACAAGCUGCUUUGCUAGACUACUUGCAUUCCACUAGAAGUUUGCAGUUUAUGGAUGCUGAACAUAUGAGUAAAAACUCACCUUUUUUUCUUUCCAACUUAUUACAAAGAAUUGAUAAUGAAAAUGAUAUUAGACGUUCCUUAACUCGAUUCUUGCGAUAUCAUCCAAUCAAUGAAUUUGAACCAUUCUUUGAGAGCAUUGGUCUGAAACCUUGUCAGUACUUGCCAUUUCUUCCUAGAGAUCUCAUGUUUUUGAAUGAUGAUCAUAGGUUGCUUGAUAACUAUCACAUCUUGUGUAAUUAUGGUAUUUCAAGAAAUAAGAUAGGAAGGAUUUUUGCUGAAGCUCCAGAAGUUUUGAGAUAUGAUUCUGGAGUUUUGGACUUGAAACUUGCUUCUUUUCACGGGGUUGGGAUAGAUCAGUCUAUUGUUGUUAAGCUUGUUAGUGCAAGUCCUUAUCUUUUGAUUGGGAAUGUACACAAGGAAUUUUUUCAAGUUGUUGAGGAAUUAAAGAAAACAGGAGUUGAAUAUAGUUGGAUUGAGGAGCAAUUGAAUGGAGAUUCUAUUGAUUGGAGCCACUUAUUCGAGCUCAUAUGCUUCUUGAACGGGUUGGGCUUGACUGAUCAACAAUUAGGAAAAUUAAUUUGUCAAGUUCCUGGUCUUCUGUUUGAUUGUUCCGGACGUACUACAUUUUCGCUAAUUGGAUUCUGGUUGAAAUUUGGUAUUCAGAAACCCAAAUUACAUGAUGUAUUCUACGCUUGCCACAAAUUCCAAUAACCACAUUUGUUUUCACUAUGAGGCAAUGCUACCAGUUCUUGAUUGAAAUUGAGAUGCCUGUCUUAGAGAUUGGAAAUAUUAUUCAUUCAUACCCUACAUUGCUAGGCUCAUGUGUUUUGAAGAAAGCUACAAGCUUGCUAACUACCCUGAAUACAGGGAAGAAGCGGCUUUGUAGUGUGAUCAAGGAGAAUCCAGAAUUUUUGCGGAAUUUGGUUCGUGGAGCCAAAGUUGAACGGUUACCAAUAGCUGAGGAGGAGCUAAGAUCCAAAAUGAUGAAAACUAAGUUCCUUUUGGAUUUGGGUUUUGCUGAGAACUCGAGCGAAAUGGAGAAAGCUCUCAAAUUAUUUUGAGGAAAAGGGGUGGAGCUCCAAGAGAGGUUUGAUUGUUUGGUAAAUGCUGGUUUGGAUCGAAAGCAUGUUGCUUCAGUGCUGAAAAUAUAUCCGCAAAUACUCAAUCAAAGGAAAGAGGUACUUGAGGCAAAGAUUGAUUUUCUAUUGAAUACAUUGGGUCUUCCACUGUCUACUUUAGUUUCGUUUCCAUCCUACCUAAACUACACAAUUCCAAGAACCACACUUAGGCUUUCAAUGUAUAAUUGGCUCAAAGAUCAAGGAAAAGUUGACCCAACAUUGUCUUUGAGCACUAUCAUAGCUUCCUCAGAGAAAUUAUUCAUGAAGACUUAUGUAAAUCCUCAUCCUAAAGGCCUUGAAGUCUGGAAAGAUCUGAAAAGAGAGUUAUAUCCUGAUUAAGUGAGAUAUCCUGAGUCGUUCCAUCUGGUAGCAUUGACAAAGGAAUGUCUAAAGCUUGAAAUCUCUUUAAAGCACAGUCUCCUGCUUAAGUUUAGAUGAGUACCCGUUCUAAAUGUGUUAACUUUGAGUGAAACGAAAAGGAGCUGGCUGCAGGCAUCCAGGUAAUGGCCUUUCUAGUUGUGUCAUACAUGGAUGGCCCUGUUACUGACCCAUUCAAUAAUUAAGGAUUAUAAUGUCCAUGUUUGCACUUGAUGUCCACUAUUCUUGAUUCACCUGUCUUUUCUGGUGGCAAUAUGUCUAACUGUUUUACUUGCUAUUGUUGUACUGUUAAAAUUUAAAAUUCUCUGUCUUUGUUAGGAAUUGUCUUCUUUAUGGAAUGUUCUACUCCUUAGCAUUGACCUCUCACUAGCUUAUAUUAUUGGUAAAGUGAACAAAGGACCAUCUUACUCGUAUUAGGGGCAACUACAGAUUGUAGGAAAAUAAUGUUUAUCUUUUGCCAAGUAAAAGACUAAAUUCCAGUAUGUGGGCUGAUUUGGUGCUUAGCAUUCAGUACCAUUCAUGGUAUAUAACCCCUAUUUGUGAUGAAUAGUGCAUGUUCAAUGUCCUCUAUGUUGCAUCUAUGGAGUUUGACUUUUCAGAAACCAUUAAAUAAUCAUAAUAUGUUAAAGAAUGCAAUUUACCACUUUUAUGAAUGUAAAUUUGCAGGUCUUUCUUUCUUUCUGUUAUUUAAGUCAACCCCGCAAUUGAUGAAUCUGUUAAUUAUGAAGUUAACCAGAAUCAGAGAGAAUCAUUAUCAUUUUGAAUACAAUCUAACACUGUACUGGAAAAACAUGUCUGCCAAAAAUAUACAAUUCAUUAAUAUUUAAGAAGAUAGUAUAUAACGAAAGAUCAGAACAAACAGCAAAAUAGUCAAAGUGAAAAAAGAAAAGUUAAGGAAACCAUAAAAGAAAUUUACAUAGUAUUUAUCAAAAACAAAAAGGAGAUUUUGUGGAUAACAUACUAGAAUGGACAUGAAUGGUCGUCUUCUUCUCCCUGUUCUCCCUCUCUUGUUUUGCCUCUUAUUCUUCAUUGAGUUGCUAUGGUGAAGCUAUGACACCAAUAUGCUCUUUACUCUCACUCUUUUCUUCUUUGUUUAAUUCUUUUUUUCAUUUCAUUCUCUUUCCACUAUUUUAUUACCUUUCCUGCCUAUAAAUGGUUCCCUUGUUUUGUUAUUCUUGUAUCUAUCCGCUCCAUUGGUAUUAACAGUAAAUAUCAUGCAGGUGCAUUAUAGAUCAAGGUAUUAAGCUACAUGACAUGGAGUGCCAAACAGUGGCGUAGCCAGGAAUUUAAUGAAGGGUGUCCAAACUUUUAAUAGUAAUUUUUUUUUAAAAAAACGACGAUUUAAAUUACCAAAACAAAUAAUCAAGUUAAGCAAUAUUUAAUUAAAUAUAGGAAUAUUUUUAAUAGAAUUACAAGUGUAUAAUUCAAAACUAACAUAAAGAAAAUAAACUACUAUUGAAAACAUAAUUUAAAUAUAUUAUUACAAUUGUACUCGACGAGGUUUCAUAUCCUGAAACGUUCUUAUAAUAGACUCAUUAUAAAUAGUACGAAAUACUUUCUUUUCUACAUAAGGCACUAUACAACCGUCUAAAAACUCAUCAUCCAUUCGAUUUCGCAAGUCAUUUUUAGAGUAUUUAAAUCAAUGCUUUGUUUUUGAGAAGAAUGUGACAACAUCUCUAAUUGAUCUAUCGUUGUUUCUUUAUUUGGUUGACUUAGAGAAGUCGAACUUUUUUUUGGUACUCUAUUAUAAUAAUUCCUCAUGUCUAUUGAAACUUGAAACUAAAAUAUUAAGUUGGUUAUUUUUGUUAUAAAAUAAGAGAACGAGAAGAAAAAACAGAGAGAGAAUUAUUGAGAUUCUAUUCUUAAUAAUAUUGUGAUAUAAUUUGGGUAAAUGAGUCUCCUAUUUAUAGAGAAAGAAAACCUAGUUCCAUAAGGGAAAAAUAUUAAAAUUUAAGGAAAUCUUAUUCCAUANNNNNNNNNNNNNNNNNNNNNNNNNNNNNNNNNNNNNNNNNNNNNNNNNNNNNNNNNAAUUACGCAUGUUUAUUUACUUAAUUGAAUUUAAGAAGUAAAAAUAAUUACAGAAAAAGAAAAAAUCCCUGCAGGGAAUCGAACCGGGACAAAGAGUAGGUUUGCACAGGCUAUUGCCAACUCCACUGCACAUCACUUUGUUAUUUCAGGGGGUCCAAAUUCUAUAUAUACCAAUAUAAAGUAAAAAUUUACAUGUAUAUGUAGUAUAAUUUUUCGACGAAGGGUGUCCAGUUGGACACCCUGGAGCCUACGUGGCUCCGCCCCUGGUGCCAAACCACACAGCCCACUUUAAGAACAAAAAUGCUGCAUGUAUGCAUGCUGUAAACAUUGGUCAAUGCAGGAAGAGGUGAGGAUAAAUACAAGUAAAGAAACAGAUCCCCAGCCAAAACUACUUUAAUCUAUAAAAGACUUUCAUUUUCAUUUAUAAAUAGCUUUUUUUUCGAAGAUAAAACCAAAACCUUCAGCCAUAACAUGCCAAUCCAAUCUAUAGGUAUAGUAUUAUCCCAAACAAAGGCAAUUACUUGCCAUAUUAUCAAGUGAAAAUAGAAUUAGAUACUUUUCUAUCUGAUUGUUGCUUUCGAUCGCAAGUUAAAAAUGCAGUCAGAAAUAUCAAAGGUGCAUUCUAUUGUUGCUAGCUUCCUUUUACGAUGAUUUAGAUGGUGUUUUGUGCUUCUACAUGAUCCAUUUAUGAGCUCAUAUUAAAAGUGAAGAGAAACACAUUGUUUUAUCGCCCAUAUCUGCUGGAGGAAGUGCGGUUCAUUUAGUCAGUUCAUCUUAUUGCUAUCAAGUUGGGAGAUCCCAAGGCUAUAUAAGACCCACAUCAGUUCCUCAUUAAACCGAUGUGGAACUCAAGUCCCAUUCCUUGCAAUAAUAUCAUAACAAACCACCACGCUCCGCAUCGUCAUCCUCAACAGCUGUGAGCUAGACAUUGCUAGCCCCGGCCAAACAAUGCCAUACCGGCGUCACCAUCCAAGGCACAGUGGGCAUGGAGAAUGAUGGGUGGUUCUGAUACCAUUGAUACAACCUUAGUAGAACCACACCCUAAAAACUGGCUAUCAAGGUGGGAGAACCCAAGGCUAUAUAAGCCCCACUAAAGUUCCACAUGUAACCAAUGUGGGACACACAACAUAUGGUUCAACUCUUAAGUCCCAUUCCUUGCAAUAAUAUCAUAACAUUAACUCUAUCAUUAGAGUCAACCCCAACAACUAGUGGGGUUCUGAAACACAUAGGAAAGGAACUUCAAGGUUGCAUUGGUUUAUCACUUAUUUUUCAUAAAGAAGAAAGAUCCCUGUUUUAAUCAUUACACAUUUUCUUUUGAGGCCUCCAGUUAGUUGUGUGGAAUUUGCAUUAAUCCGUUUUUGUCCUUUCUAUUAGUUGGUCUUAUUUAUACGUGGAUAUUUUUCAUGGUAUUUUUCAACAUUAAAUAUUUAUAUCAACCAACGAGUGAUAUAUACACCAUUGGCAUCCAUUCAUAUCCAGACACAAGUCUUCCAUCAAUUUCCUGAUAUAAAUUCUUACCUUAAUUUUUCUUAUAUUUUGGCUGUUUUGUUUUAAUCACCAAUUAGAUUAAUGUCACUGAUUCAUUAUGCGCAGCUGUUAAAACACCAAGAACGAAGGAUGAAAAGAAGAAAUCAAAGCCAAGAGGUGAACAACAUCAAAGGUAAUUUGGUAGAUGAUCAAGUAAUGGUAUAAUUUGAUUUCUUCAUGAAUGGAUAGAUUCAACAUCCGUGCUAGCGUUACUGAUUAGCCUUGUACAUUCCAAAAGAAGAAAAGAGUCACUCUAACAGCAGGGCAAGAAAUCUUUUGAGGUUUUAUUUAUGGGAUCACAUGAUCCUGCACCAUUGUCUAUUUAAUCUUAAGAAGACGAGCAAGCUCAAUAAGGUUGAAGAAGGCUUCGGCCUUUUCCUAUGCGAUCCAUUCAUCUAUGAAUUUGUUAGGGGUAAAAACUUAGUUUUGUUCUGCUAUAUGUAAACUUGAUUUCUUUGCCCAACUUAUAUGAUGAAACUAUUUUUUUUUCUCUAUUUAGAGGAAUGAUUCCAACCACCAUUCACGUACUAUUCCUCAUCAGUCGUCAUGAGGAAGAGCAAUUGAGAAUUCUCAUUCCAGAAAUACACUGACAAGAACUUAGAGUUUGUUUCUUCAAAAUGCAGAUUUCAGCUUCCCUUGUAUCAAUGAGUUUCAGUUUUAACUUUGUUAUCUAGGUGUGUUUGGUAUGAUGGAAAAAUGUACCUGUUUAGUUGGAGAGAGAACUUUUAACCAUUUACUAAGGAUUUUAAAUAAUAUUAGCAACUGGAUUCAUAAAAACAACAUAGCAAACCAAAUAUUGUUUGAUGGAAUUUUUUAAUUUAAAGUUGAUAUAUUGUCUAAGUUUUGGUCAAAGUUGUGAUAUAUAAAGUGAAGAAAUGAUAUGCUUCCUUUGAUUACUUUUACUUAUCUAGUAUUUCUCAAAUAGGUUUUACUUUUACUUUUAACAUAUCAAGAAAACUAAAAAUGAUAAUUGCUCCCCCAUAUUAGUUGUUCACUAUUUCCUUUACAUAUUAACUAAAAGUGUAGCCAACUAUAAUCAAGAGAUAAGGGUCAACCACACUUGAACUAUCCCUUUUAUUUUUGAGUUUCAUAAUUAAAUUAUUGAGAGUGUAAGUUUUAUACUGAAAUUAUUACUUAUUAGUUUGAGAAACACAUCUCUCUCUCUUUUAUUACACUUUUAUCAUGGUGUGUGUAAUACACUCUCUCUUAUAUUUAAGAAAAUUAUCGCAUCACACUUCACAUGGAAAAACCAUUCCACCUUGACAAAAAAUAAAUAAAUUAUUAGUAUUAGUUAAAGUUAAAUAUUAAAAUAUUACUAUUCCCCCCAAAAAAUAAAAAAUAAAAUGUAAAAUAGUUUUCUCACCCCACCCCACCACUUCCUCUCACCGUACCCUCCCCCCCCUCAAAAUCCCUUGAAAUAAUAUGCUUUUAAUUGUUUUUCCUUGUUUUGUAUUAUAUAUAUUUAAAAAUCUAUUUUUCACUUGCCGCAAGACUUUUUUAAAAAUAAAAUUUUUAUUUAUUUUUUUCCUAAAAAUAUAUGUACACAUCUAACACAAAAAAAGAAAAAUGUAAAAACAAUAAAAAAAUAAAUUAGGAGCGGAGGAUUAGAUGGGGUGGGGUAGAAUUUUUUUUUAUAAUAUUAAUUUUUUUUAGGAAGGAGUCGGGGAGGGGGUGAGAUCUGAUUUUUUUAAUAAUAUUUUAUAAAAUAAUUUAAAAAAAUAAAAGGAUGGAGGGAUUAUCGGGGGGGGGGGGGGGGGGGGUGGAGAAAAAUUUUUACUAUAUNNNNNNNNNNNNNNNNNNNNNNNNNNGGAGGAGAUGAGAAAAACAUUCUAAAUUUUAUGUUUUUAAAAAAUAAUUUUUUUUUGGGAUAGUAAUACUUUAAUCAUUAGCUUUUAACUAAUAUUAAUAGUUUUUUUUUUUGUCAAAAUAGAAUAUUUUGUCGAUGUGGCAAGGUUUUUUGCAAAUAAAAAAGAGUGUAUUACACACACCAAGGUAUGUUUCUCAAAGUAAUAAGUGAUAAUUUAGGUAUGAAACUCACACUCCAAAUAGUUUAGGUAUGAAACUCAAAAAAAUUAAAAUAGUUUAGGUGUGUUUUGACACUUAUCUCUAUAAUUAAUUCUAGUUGGCAAUGCUUUGGUGGAUGAGUUAGUCCCACGUGGCUUGCCAUGUCAUUAAAAUUUGGGCUGUUAACUCUUGAGGGUAUUUGUGGUAUCAUGGAAUAACAAGGGAGACAUUUUUAUCCCAAAACGUAACGGAUGAUAUAAGUGAUUUAUUUCGUAUAGUUCAGGGAUAAUUUUGAUCAUUUAUUAUUCUUUAGAUAAAGAAAAUUUUACAUAAUUAAGAAACUACUAAGGGUUACAUUUUUUCAAGGUAUUUAUUAAGGGUAGAUUAGUCAAAACAUAAUUUGUUUUCUAGGAAUGAGUAGUUUCUUAAUAGGUUUGUCCAAAUUAAAAGCAACACUUAUUUAGAAAUGGAGAGAGUAUUAGUUUACUCUUUAAUAAACUUUUUUGCAACUUGUUUACACUUUUAAAAAUGAAUUAAUUGUAAGGGUAAAAUGAAAAAAAUGUAAUUAAUUCUCUCGUGGUUUUGAAAAUUACUUCCUCUAUCCCUAAUUACUUGUCCACUUUUGAAUUGACACACCUAUUAAGAAUACAACGAUUGACAUAGUGAGUUUACCAUUUUACCCCUAUUAAUUAUGAAGUGGAUGAAUUAAAAACGUAAAAUUUUAAAAAAGUUCUACCUUUUCAAAGUAAUUAAUUCAGGGUAUAAUAGGUAAAAAAAUUGUCUGGACAACUAAAAAAGGAAAAGUUGACAAGUAAUUAGGGACAGAGGGAGUAACAAAUAAUUUGAUAUAACUAUUUUUAGUAAUGUGGACAACUAAUAUGAGAAGUCCGUUGUCUCUAUUCGAUAUACAGAAAAGGGCCAAAAAUACCCCUGUACUAUUUGUAAAGGUUUAAAAAUACCCUUCAUACCCUUCUAUCCACUUUUUUUAAAUUAUUUUUUAAUAUUAUUAAUUACAUGGCUCCUCCCUAUUGGACAAAAUUAAACCCCAUCCCAUAAGAUUAAUUGUAGAAUAUGCCACCACCCUCCAUCAACAAGUAAUUAUCUGAUGAUCACCAGGAAUACAUAGUCGUUUUACUGUUGAAUUCUCAAUUUCGGGAAUCUUUUUGUUGAUCCAAAAGGUUUUUGGUUCAUUUUUAUUCGAUUUUACUGUUAGAUUAGUGAUUUGGAUUUCUGCCUGCGUAACUCCCAAAUAGCCCAACAGUAUGCAGAUCUUUUUGGAAGGAAGAUUUUUGGUGGGUGAGGGUUUUAAUUUUGUCCAAUAGGGAGGAGCCAGGUAAUAAAUAAUAAUAAUAAAAAGUGGCUGUUAGUUUUAAGGGUAGAAGUGAAUAUGGCUAGAAGGGUAUUUUUAGCCAAAUGGAUGAAUAAGGGGUAUUUUUAAACCUUUUCAAAUAGUACGGGGUAUAAUGUUUUCCAUCCUUAACAAACACAACCUUGAGUUUAAUGUCCGCUCAGAAACAAAAAAAAUGCAUGGUUCUUAUUGUUGGAAUCAAUGAUCAAUAUCAUGACUCAUGAGAUUGUAAGAAUUUAUAUACCAAAACAUAUGCAUAUAAAUAACUAUACAUAUAUUAUAUCUAGUGAAAUUUAGACCUUACAUUUAAUAGACCUUUUAUCUUUUGCAUCAAAAGACAAGUCUUUUUAAGAGUUCAACCUCAAUUACAACAAUUCCAAAUAUUAUCACCAAAUAAUAUAUUCCUAAAUAAUUAUAAGCUUCCAUCAAUGACAUUAUGAUAUUAUACUUUUAAGUCAUUUUUAGUUUUUAAGACGGUUUGACAAAUUUAAAAAUAACUUAAAAUAAGUUUAAAAUGACUUUAAAAUAAGUUAAAAAGUCAAAAAGUAGGACUCUCUCUAUUUUUUAUCUUUUGACUUAAGAGUCAUUUAAGUUUGACUUGAAAAAGUUAAUUUUUCAAAAUUUAUUGUAGACACAAAUUUUAUUGGAUUAAAUUCAUACGAAAUUUGAAUUAAAUCCAUGUUCAUUGGGUUGAAUGAUUAAUUUGGGCUUUACAAAUAAAUAAGUCCAUUUUAUUAUAUUCAAAUAUAAGGUCAAUUUCACCUUGAAGCCCAAACUCAUGCCAUGUGUCACAGUGACUAGGCAUUCAAGACCAAUAAAUCGGCGCCACAUGUCAAAAUGAGAUGGUACUCCCAAUCAACUGCAAGAACCAAUCACAAUCCGCCAAGUGUCAAAAUGACAUCCUUUGGCCAAUCAUAUGCAACCUUGUCCACCCCUUACUUCUAUAAAUAGGGGAUGUACAUGACAUUCUUAGGCAUUAAGAAAACUCUUCAAUAAGCAUUAUGUAAGGAUUGGAGAACGCUACAACACCAGCUACAUAGUUCUUCAAAGGAGUGGUCAAUAGAGUUCUUCUCGGAGAUCGACUUGAAACCACGAAGUACUUCUCGACGUUUUCGGAGAUCAAAUACAUCUCAAGGAGGUAUAUAUCUUUCUACAUUCGAGAAAUACGCUACUAAAGGCCCUCGAAUCACAGAGAAGUUUAGGAGUGAAGAAUCAAGAGAACACCAGAAUUGUACUCACAAGAUUCAUUAAUAAAAAUCACAUUUUUCUUUUAUUUAUUUUGCUUGCAGUUAAUUUUCAGCGCUUACGGAAAUUUGUUGCGAACAAAUUUGGCAUGCCAAGUGGGAUCGAUUGUGCUCUUCAUCUCUUUCUCUUGUAAACCAGAAACUACAAAGUCAACUACUGCAAUGGCCUUCAGAAAGAGUAGUGAUUUUUCAUACAAAGACUCCAGUGGUGUCGUAUCUGCUGAUUUCAAUCACGUUGGCCCGAUUACUCGGCGGAAGUUCAAGAAUAGUGGGUUAGAUGGAUCGUAUACUUCACUUCUUUGGAGACGAUAAAAAACAACAACUCUCAUACGAUUAUCAUAACUGCAACACCUAGGGGCAAUCUUGCAUCCGUGUUCUUUGGAGAAUUUUCUCAAAUUGGCUCCAACUUUGGUGAAUCCGAAGAUUCAAUGGAUUCUCCAACUUCAAUGAAUGUCAAUGCAUUGAUGUCUGACUCAAUCGACAUGGACGAGAAGUUUGCAAUGAUGGAUCAACCCAUUGAAGCCUCGAAAAACUCCAUUGAUGACAAAAAUCUUCAUAUUGCUCAACUUAUGAACAAGUUGGAGACAUUCACACUCAGAGAGUCAAGUCAUGUCCCUACUUGUCCACCUGGUUUUGAUGCACGAAACAAGGACGUUGAGCAAUCUCUAGCAAAGUCAAAAUUUCAAAAGGAGAAACAAUCUGCUUCAGCUGCAGCAUUAUCUGUCCAACAGUUGCAAGACAUGAUAGCAAACACUAUCAGGGCUCAAUAUGGCGGAACACCACAAAGUUCCUUGUAUUACUCCAAGCCAUAUACCAGAUGAAUUGAUUCUUUAUCAAUGCCAACAAACUAUCAACCACCAAAGCUACAACAAUUUGAUGGCAAGGGGAACCCAAGGCAGCAUAUCGCCCACUUUGUUGAAACCUGUAGCAAUGCUGAAACACAUGGUGACCUUUUGGUAAAACAAUUUGUUCGUUCGCUUAAAGGGAAUGCAUUUGACUGGUAUAUCGACUUGGAACACGAGUCCAUUGAUAGUUAGGAGCAACUCAAGAAGGAAUUCCUCAAUCAUUUUUACAGUACUCGUCGAAUCGGAAGCAUGAUAAAGUUGACCGACACUAAGCAAAGAAAGGACGAGCAUGUGGUGGAUUACAUCAAUCGUUGUAGAUCAUUGAGUUUGGACUACAAAGAUCUUCUUUCUAAAAUAUCUGUUGUGGAAAUGUGCAUUCAGGGUAUGCAUUGGGGACUUCUAUACAUACUACAAGGAAUCAAACCACGAACUUUUGAGGAACUUGCUACAUGAGCGCAUGACAUGGAGUUGAUCAUCGCAAGUCAUGGGAAGGCAUCUCCUUUUGCUGAUCUGACAAAGGAAAAGAAGGAAUUCAAGAAAGGUAUGAACUCAAAAAUCCAGAUAAAGGAAUCUAUGGCGGUGAAAGCAACAUCUGUAAAGGUCACCACCAAGAAGAAACUAAAAGAGGAGGAAGCCCAAGUCAAUAUCUGAAGGAGGAGAGGUGACGUCCAACCUUAAAAAAAUUAGAGACCAAGGUCUACCCGUUUCCAAAUUCAGAUGUACUCAUGAUUCUUGAUGAAUUGAUAGCUAAGAAAGUCAUUGAUCUUCCAGAAUCAAAGAGGCUCGAAGAAAUCAAUGAGGUUGGUGACCCUAAAUACUGCAAGUUCCAUCGUGUCCUUGACCACCCGAUAAGUAAAUGCUUUAUCUUGAAGGAGAAAAUCACAAUGUUAGUAAGUGAAGGAAAAAUCAUUAUUGACAUGGAUGAAACAUCGGAGGCGAAUCAUGCUAGUGUAGCACCUAAUCAAAAGAAGUGCUCAAGGUCCCAAAUUAUGCCAAACACCAUUUCCUUGCAAUUCAGAAGUUUCACACCUAUUGAAGUUGAUUUUCCAAAGAAAACCUCGAAAGGUUCACUAAAGAUACACGACAAUAAAGCUGAUGGUUGGACUCUAGUUACACAUAAGAAGCGGAGACAUCAAGAAGUUCUUAGGAUACGACUUCCUAAAACAAGAACAAUAAGGAGUGAUGUGAAUAAACUACAACCAUAAAAAAGCGUCAAGCCUUGUACUAGCCAAAAGAUCAAUGGUUCUUUAUCGCAAAAGGUUUGAAGGCCCAUUACGUUAGAUGAAUUCUUUCCUGAAAAAUUCCUUUGCGGUAGUCAAUUUGGUGCAACACAUGUUGUUUCCAGCACAGACGAAACAAAGAAAAGCAAACACGAGCAUAAUCCAGCAAUAAUACAAGAACAUCAAACUGAUGAAAAAAUUGCCCCAUGUUGUGCUACAAUUGCCUUCACAGAUGAUGACUUGUUGUUAGGGUCUAAGCUACAUAACAUACCUUUGUUUGUUGUAGGAUCUAUUCGGGAACAACAUCUCAAUCGCAUACUAAUUGAUGGUGGUUCGACAGUCAAUAUCAUGCCAAAAGUAGUUUGGAAAAAACUCGAGAUCUCUAUUGAUGAAUUGUCCAAAGUAACCUAACGAUCCAAGGUUUCAAUCAAGGAGGACAACGAUCCUUAGGUAAGAUUCGUGUAGGAUUGUCCAUUGGCAACGUUAUAUCAAACAUUUUGAUUCAUGUUAUAGUUGGCAAAACAACAUACAACUUGUUUCUCGGACGUCCUUGGGUUCAUGAAAAUGGAGUGGUGCCAUCUACUUUGCAUUAAUGCAUGAAGUAUAUGCAUGAUGGAGAGGUAGUAAAAAUCGAUGCAGACAUCAAUCCUUUCACUGAGACGGAGUCUAUUUUGCAGAUGCAAAAUUUUAUUUAGAUUUUGGAAGAUCAAAUAUAGAGGAACCUACACAACCUGACUCAAUUGGUCUCGUAGAUAGUAAAGUUCAAUGGGCCACUAUCAAGAUGUCUAAGAACAGAAUAGAAGAGAUUUCUAUUAAGCUUUCACUAUCUAAAGGAGACAUACAGAGCAAUAUUGAUAAUGAGAAACCAAUUUUUCGCUACAUUCCAUGUGAACGUCGAAAAAAGGGACAACCACUACCAAAGGAAUGUACUCAACAAGUUCACCCACCGAGGAAAGAAUUGUGUCACACAACAUUCCAAGAUUUGAAGGAGAAAAUGAUUUUCCCAGUUGCACAAGUCCCGUCUAUCCCUUUGGAUCCAUCCAAAGGCAAUACCCAAUUUGGUAAGAUAAAAGGGAACUUUCAUCAAAAGGUCUUCACAUUAUUUGAAAAAUCAAGUUACAAUUUCUCAAAUCCAACAAUGUUAGGAGAACUCAGGGAUGAAGUCAUUGAUGGAAAGAUAGAUUGCCUUACAAAGUCUCAAAUGUGGUUGAGAAAGAAGGGAUAUUAUGUCGCCACUCCUAGGUUUGGGUUAGGAUUCAGCUUGCCGGAGCCUUUUUGGAUUUAAUCUAAGAAGGAAAAGGAAAUAACUACAUCCCACCACACCUCUGUAGAGAAAAAAAAAGGAGUCUAAGGAGGGUAAAACACCACGACGUACUUCGGUGUUUGAACGCAUUGGGAGAUUGACACCCCGUAUCUCUGCAUUUGAAAGAUUAGGCCCCAAAGAUGAAAAGGAAUCUUCUGAACAAGUGCAUGGAGAUGCCACCACCUCAAAGACCUCUGUAUUUCAUCGAUUGGGAGCAAAAAGGAAGUCAUUAUCAGGAAAGACGUUGUUGGAGCAUGAAAAUCAAGAUUUUUGUGAUGUGACCAAUAACAAAGAGAUUCAUAGUGUCUUCCUAUCACGUAUGAAAAGAAAGACUGUAUUGUCAAUUACCACAGAUGGUUCAUUGAAGGUAAAAAGAAGCACCGUUGUUUUCACCAACCAGUUUCAUGAAAAAACAAAAAAGGAUAAAGGAGAAGCCAUCACAGUUUUCAUAGAAAAUUAGAGGGAAGAUUCAAACUUGAUACAAUUAUCCUAUCACAUAACAGUGGAAGAAGGUCCACACAUUGAUGAUACAAAUGAUAAUGUACAAGAGGCUCCCCCUCAACUAGAGGAUGGCGUACAAGCAUCCAUAGACGACCUCAAGGAACUAAAUCUUGGCACUCUGGAAGAUCCACACCCAACCUUCAUUAGUGCACUUCUUACACCACAAGAAGAGAGGAAAUACUUCAAGUAAUUGGUUGAGUAUAAAGACGUUUUUGCUUGGUCGUACAGAGAAAUAUCGGGCCUUAGUCCCAAGAUAACUAUUCAUCAUUUGGGGAUAAAAAAUGGAACACGACCUAUAAAGCAGUCACAACGAGUGUUUCUCCCUGAGUUGGUAACACAAAUUGAAGUGGAGGUCAACAAGCUCAUCGAAGCUGGAUGUAUCCGAGAAGUGAAGUACCUAUUGUGGAACUCAAAUAUCCCAUAAACUCUUGGAUAUUUUUAAAGAUCUUGAAUAUCUCUAAUAUUCCACAAAAUUGAUGGAAUAUUCAUAUAGAGGUCAAAUCUAAAUCAUCCUAGUUCGAUAAAUACGACACUAACAACCCUCGAAUCAUGGAUAAAUAUUAUGAGAGGAGAAUCAAGGGAGGAACAAAAUUAUACUCACAAUCUUGAUCAAUAAAAAUAUGUUUCUUCAUAUUUUAUUUGUGAUUGUAAUUUAUUUUCUGUCACUUUAAAGUUAGCUCAAAUUCUAUCUCAUUCAACUCUUCAGCUUUGAGCAGCUUUGGGAGAAAAGCAAUAACUCGGCGUAGGAGCCUUGAAAUGAUGCGGUUCUUAUUCCGUUAGAAGCAUAAAUCAUAGACGUACAACAUAUGUAAAAAUCACGGCCAAAAGCUUUCCAGAUUAGUACAAAUGUAUAUUUAAAGUUAGCUCAAAUUCUAUGCCGCUCAACUCUUCAGCUUUGAGCAGGUUUGGGAGAAAAUCAAUAACUCGACAUAGGAGCCUUGAAAUGAUGUGAUUUUUCUUCCUUUGGAAGAAUAACUCAUAGAUAAACAACAUAUGUAAAAAUCACAAUCAAAAGCUUUCCAGAUUAAUACAGAUACAUUUCAAAGUUAGCUCAAAUUCUGAAACUAUGAGAUUCAUGUUUCAAUGUGAGGAACACGUCUUUGGUGUUAAGUCCAAAAUUCGAUGUAAGAGUGAUGAAACUAUGAGAUCCUUAUCUCAUUGUGACGAGCGCAUCAAGAACAACACUAUUUAUAGAAGUUACAACAAAAUUCACUCCAAUUUGAUAAGAAUAAAAUUUUCAAGUUUACUAUUCGCCCAGAAUGUCAAUUCCUCAACUUUGUGCGCUCUUGACAAAAAAAAAA
rnacentral:lncRNA from 1 species